UAGGGAAUCUUCGGCAAUGGACGAAAGUCUGACCGAGCAACGCCGCGUGAGUGAAGAAGGUUUUCGGAUCGUAAAACUCUGUUGUUAGAGAAGAACAAGGGUGAGAGUGGCUGUUCACCCCUUGACGGUAUCUAACCAGAAAGCCACGGCUAACUACGUGUCAG
rnacentral:rRNA from 1 species